AUGAACGCUGGCGGCGUGCUUAACACAUGCAAGUCGAACGAAGCAUUUAAGACAGAUUACUUCGGUUUGAAGUCUUUUAUGACUGAGUGGCGGACGGGUGAGUAACGCGUGGGUAACCUGCCUCAUACAGGGGGAUAGCAGCUGGAAACGGCUGGUAAUACCGCAUAAGCGCACAGUACCACAUGGUACAGUGUGAAAAACUCCGGUGGUAUGAGAUGGACCCGCGUCUGAUUAGCUUGUUGGCGGGGUAACGGCCCACCAAGGCGACGAUCAGUAGCCGACCUGAGAGGGUGACCGGCCACAGUGGGACUGGGACACGGCCCAGACUCCUACGGGAGGCAGCAGUGGGGAAUAUUGCACAAUGGAGGAAACUCUGAUGCAGCGACGCCGCGUGAGUGAAGAAGUAGUUCGCUAUGUAAAGCUCUAUCAGCAGGGAAGAUAGUGACGGUACCUGACGAAGAAGCUCCGGCUAAAUACGUG
rnacentral:rRNA from 1 species